GACGAACGCUGGCGUGCGUGCUUAACACAUGCAAGUCGAACGGAAAGGCCCUGCUUUUGUGGGGUGCUCGAGUGGCGAACGGGUGAGUAACACGUGAGUAACCUGCCCUUGACUUUGGGAUAACUUCAGGAAACUGGGGCUAAUACCGGAUAGGAGCUCCUGCUGCAUGGUGGGGGUUGGAGAGUUUCGGCGGUUGGGGAUGGACUCGCGGCUUAUCAGCUUGUUGGUGGGGUAGUGGCUUACCAAGGCUUUGACGGGUAGCCGGCCUGAGAGGGUGACCGGCCACAUUGGGACUGAGAUACGGCCCAGACUCCUACGGGAGGCAGCAGUGGGGAAUAUUGCACAAUGGGCGGAAGCCUGAUGCAGCAACGCCGCGUGCGGGAUGACGGCCUUCGGGUUGUAAACCGCUUUCGCCUGUGACGAAGCGUGAGUGACGGUAAUGGGUAAAGAAGCACCGGCUAACUACGUGCCAGCAGCCGCGGUGAUACGUAGGGUGCGAGCGUUGUCCGGAUUUAUUGGGCGUAAAGGGCUCGUAGGUGGUUGAUCGCGUCGGAAGUGUAAUCUUGGGGCUUAACCCUGAGCGUGCUUUCGAUACGGGUUGACUUGAGGAAGGUAGGGGAGAAUGGAAUUCCUGGUGGAGCGGUGGAAUGCGCAGAUAUCAGGAGGAACACCAGUGGCGAAGGCGGUUCUCUGGGCCUUUCCUGACGCUGAGGAGCGAAAGCGUGGGGAGCGAACAGGCUUAGAUACCCUGGUAGUCCACGCUGUAAACGGUGGGUACUAGGUGUGGGGUCCAUUCCACGGGUUCCGUGCCGUAGCUAACGCUUUAAGUACCCCGCCUGGGGAGUACGGCCGCAAGGCUAAAACUCAAAGGAAUUGACGGGGCCCCGCACAAGCGGCGGAGCAUGCGGAUUAAUUCGAUGCAACGCGUAGAACCUUACCUGGGUUUGACAUGGAUCGGGAGUGCUCAGAGAUGGGUGUGCCUCUUUUGGGGUCGGUUCACAGGUGGUGCAUGGCUGUCGUCAGCUCGUGUCGUGAGAUGUUGGGUUAAGUCCCGCAACGAGCGCAACCCUUGUUCACUGUUGCCAGCACGUUAUGGUGGGGACUCAGUGGAGACCGCCGGGGUCAACUCGGAGGAAGGUGGGGAUGACGUCAAGUCAUCAUGCCCCUUAUGUCCAGGGCUUCACGCAUGCUACAAUGGCUGGUACAGAGAGUGGCGAGCCUGUGAGGGUGAGCGAAUCUCGGAAAGCCGGUCUCAGUUCGGAUUGGGGUCUGCAACUCGACCUCAUGAAGUCGGAGUCGCUAGUAAUCGCAGAUCAGCAACGCUGCGGUGAAUACGUUCCCGGG
rnacentral:rRNA from 1 species